rnacentral:sRNA from 1 species
UUUUUUAAAAAAAUUUCAGACCCAAAACUGUUUCAAAAUGACUCCUAGUCAAAGAUGAUUAUUUAUUGAGUAUUUGAAGUAAAUAUCUAUUUAAUGUUUUAAUAAGUAUGUUGAAAUAUUUAAUAAUUUUAAAUAUUUAAUAAUUUUAAAAUUGCAUAAAUACAAAUGAAAUAUUAUGUAAAAUAUUUGUUUUUUGUUAUAGAAAUAUUUGAUACGCAUUCACCAUUCAACAAAUCAUUUAAACUCUCAUAUCUGCUAGAUCCACACUUGUUCUACAUGAUCCGCUUUAUCUGCUUUAUCCGCUUGAUCUGCAUUUUCCAUUAAAGUUAAUAAGUAAAUUUGUUAUGGUCUAGGUGUGGAGGAUCGAUAAAACUUUAUAAUAUUAAUAGAUAUAAAUAAUGAAAUUGAUAGAGAAGCUUUUACAUUUUUUAUUUAAUUAUCAUAUUUAAACAAGCAGUUGACAAGUUUAACACAUUUUCUUCUUUUUGUUUUUUCUAAAUAACCUUUUUAACUAGUUUCUUUUUUAGUUGUAAAUUAACGAUAUAACCCAUUAAAUAUUAUAAACAAAAUUUGGUAUAAAAAGUUUGAUUAUGUUAUUUUCUUAAAUAUAUUAAUUUUUUGGUCAACUUUUUGCAUAUAUAAUUAUACAAUAAUUUUUUUGCCAUAAACAAAAAUCUUAGUUACAUAAUACACUCUCUGUUAAUUUUAUACUAGAUAAAGAUGGACGACUUCAUAACAAAAAUAAAAUUUAA